UAUUCCUACGGCGCGCAGCAGUGGGGAAUAUUGCGCAAUGGGCGAAAGCCUGACGCAGCGACGCCGAGUGAGGGAUGAAGGUCUUCGGAUCGUAAACCUCUGUCAGCAGGGAAGAACGGUCACUGUGCUAAUCAGCAGUGAAUUGACGGUACCUGCAAAGGAAGCACCGGCUAACUCCGUGCCAGCAGCCGCGGUAAUACGGAGGGAGCGAGCGUUAAUCGGAAUUACUGGGCGUAAAGCGCUCGUAGGCGGUAUGUAAAGUCAAGGGUGAAAUCCCCGCGCUCAAAGAGGGAACUGCAUUUGAA
rnacentral:rRNA from 1 species